rnacentral:rRNA from 1 species
CAAGUGAAGAGUUUGAUUCUGGCUCAGAUUGAACGCUGUCGGCGUGGUUAAAGCAUGCAAGUCGAACGGACCCGCAAGGGUCAGUGGCGGAAGGGUGAGUAAUACGAUCGAACGUACCCCGAGGUGGGGGAUAGGCAUGGGAAACUGUGCGUAAUACCCCAUGAUCUCUUCGGAGCAAAGAUUUAUCGCCUUGGGAUCGGCGAUCGUCCUAUCAGGUAGUUGGCGGGGUAAUGGCCCACCAAGCCUAAGACGGGUAGCAGGUGUGAGAGCACGGCCUGCCACAUCGAAACUGAGACACUGUUCGGACUCCUACGGGAGGCUGCAGCGACGAAUCUUCCGCAAUGGGCGAAAGCCUGACGGAGCGACGCCGAGUGUGGGAUGAAGCGGCUUUGCCGUGUAAACCACUGUUAGGGGAUAGAAACAAUGAUCAUCUCCAGAGAAAGGGGCGACUAACUCUGUGCCAGCAGUCGCGGUAAGACAGAGGCCCCGAGCGUUAAUCGGAAUUACUGGGCUUAAAGGGUGCGUAGGCGGAUCUGUAAGUGUCGUGUGAAAGCCCACUGCUCAACAGUGGAACAGCACGGCAAACUGCAGACCUUGAGGAAUCUAGAGGCCGGUAGAACGAUUGGUGGAGCGGUGGAAUGCGUAGAGAUCAAUCGGAAUGCCAAAGGUGAAGACAGCCGGCUGGGGAUUUCCUGACGCUGAGGCACGAAAGCGUGGGGAGCAAACAGGAUUAGAUACCCUGGUAGUCCACGCCCUAAACGAUGUGUGCUGGAUUACGGCGGCUCUGACGCCGUCGGGAUCGCAGAGAAAUUGUUAAGCACACCGCCUGGGGAGUACGGUCGCAAGGCUAAAACUCAAAGAAAUUGACGGGGGCUCACACAAGCGGUGGAGCAUGUGGCUCAAUUCGAAGCAACGCGCAGAACCUUACCUGGGUUUGACAUGGUCGGAUUAGUCGGUGGAAACAUCGAUGAGGCCCGCAAGGGUACAACGAUCACAGGUGCUGCAUGGCUGUCGUCAGCUCGUGCUGUGAAGCGUCGGGUUAAGUCCCUUAACGAGCGCAACCCUUGUCGCUAGUUACUAACGAGUCAAGUCGAGGACUCUAGCGAGACUGCCGGUGUCAAACCGGAGGAAGGCGGGGAUGACGUCAAGUCCUCAUGGCCCUUACACCCAGGGUUGCACACGUGCUACAAUGGUGCAUACAAAGCGACGCGAGGCCGCGAGGCGGAGCAAAUCGCAAAAAAUGCACCCCAGUUCGGAUUGCAGGCUGCAACCCGCCUGCAUGAAGCCGGAAUCGCUAGUAAUCGCGGAUCAGCUACGCCGCGGUGAAUGUGUUCCUGAGCCUUGUACACACCGCCCGUCAACUCAUGGAAGCCGGUAGUGCCCGAAGCUGCUGAAUCUCAUCAGCAACCACGGCAAGAUCGGUGACUGGGAGUAAGUCGUAACAAGGUAGCCGUAGGAGAACCUGCGGCUGGAUCACCUCCUUUCUAAGG